GCCACAUCUAAUUGCGAAGAGGAAAGCAGUUCCCACUGUAACAAGCCACCACAUCAUUCCACAGAUGACACAUCUGAAAGUGAAGAAGAGAACAGUUCCCAAUGUAACAAGGCACCACAUCAUUCCACAGAUGACACAUCUGAAAGUGAAGAAGAGGAGUGGGACGAACUCAACACAACACUACAUCAUAACAUG